rnacentral:tRNA from 15 species
CAGGAUAUAAUUUAAAUAGAAUGCUAGCUUUGGGGGUUAGCUGUGGGAGUUAAAUUCUCUCUGUCCUGA